AGGAAGACCAGAGGACUAGCUGAGUUGUCACUGAGCUUUGGUAUCAGGAGGAAUGGCCAGGAUCCUGAGAACAUCCAUUUUAAUUCUAUGGCUUCAACUAGGCUGGGUGAGUGGCCAACAGAGUAAUAAGAGUGGCCAGCAGCAGGUGAAACAGGUCCCUCAAUCUCUGACAGUCCGGGAAGGAGAGAUUUCUACUCUGAAUUGUACUUAUGAGAACAGUGCAUUUGACUACUUCCUAUGGUACCGACAGUACCCUGGUAAAGGCCCCGAAUUAUUGCUAGCCAUGCUCUUGGUUGAAAGAACAAAGAAGGAUGGAAGAUUCACAGUUUCCCUCAACGUAAGUGCCAAACAAUUUUCAUUGCACGUCACGGCUCCCCAGCCUGGAGACUCAGCCACCUACUUCUGUGCAGCAAAAGCACAGUGCUCCCCAGGCACCUGCAGCCUGGCCCCAAACCUGAAGCUGAGGCUCCAGCCAAACCCUACUGUGUAGAGCAAAUACUUACACACACAUACACACACAAUCUGUUU